rnacentral:lncRNA from 1 species
CAAUUUCAAAACUUGGUACAAAGAGUAAUCAAAACAGUGUGGUAUUUGCAUAAGAAUAGACAUAGAGACCAAAGAAUUAGAAUUGAGAGCCGAGAAAUCAAUGCUCACAGCUACAGCCAACUGAUUUUCAACAAGAGCGCCAAGAUCAUUCAAUGGGGAAAAAUGAUCUCUUCAACAGAUGGUGCUGAGAAAACCGGACAUCCACAGGCAAAGAAUGAAGUUGGACACUUACUUUACACCAUAUACAAAAAUUAACUAAAAAUGCAUCAAAGACCUAAAUUUUAAGAGCUAAACUAUAAAACUGUUAGAAGAAAAUGUAAGGGAAAAUCUGCUUGACCUUGAACUCGGCAAUGUUUUCUUAAAUAUGACACCAAAAGCACAGGCAACAAAAGAAAAAAUAGAUAAAUUGGACUUCAUUAAGAUUAAACACUUUUGUGCAUCAAAGGACACUAGCGAGAGAGUGAAAAGACAACCCACAGAAUGGGAGAAAAGAUUUGCAAAUCAUACAUCUAAAAUCAUAUAUAAAAAUCAUACAUCUGGUUUAAAAUCCAGAAUAUAUAAAGAAGUCCAACAACUCAACCACAAAAAGGCAAAAACCCAAUUUUACAGUGGGCAACAAACUUGAAUAGACAUUUCUCCGAAGAAGAUAUACAAAUGGUCAAUAAGCACAUGAAAAGUUGCUUGACAUCAUUAGUCAUUAGGGAAAUGCAAAUCAAAACCGCAAUGAGAUGUCACUUCACACCAAUUAGGAUGGCUAUAAUUUUGGACAAUAGCAGUUGUUGGAGAGGGUGUGAAGAAAUCGGAACACUUGCACAUUGCUGUUGAGAUCAUAAAAUGGUGCAGCCGCUGUGGAAGCAGCUUGGCAGUUCCUCAAAAAGUUACACACCGAAUUUCCAUAUAACCCAGCAAUUCCACUCCUAGGUAUAGACCCAAAAGAUUUAAAAAGAGGCACUCAAACACAUGCUUGUCCAGGAGCGUUCGUAGCGGCACUGUUCGCAACAGCCACAAGGUGGCAACAACCCAAGUGUCCAUCCACAGAGGAACGGAUAAACAAAUUGUGGUCUAUCCACAUAGUGGAAUAUAAUUCAGCCAUAAAAAGGAAUGAAAUGCAUGGGCUACAGCAUGGAUGAGCCUUGAGGGCCCGUGAACCUGCCCUGGCAUAGCUGAGGGCUGGGGGGCACCGGGCAGCAGCUGGGCAUCUAGGUGUGCCCGGGGGAUGCACUGAAGAGAGGAGAGCAGGUGGAGGAUCGCACUGGGGUCAGGGCAGCUGAGGCGGACACUGUCGCUGUCCAAGCCGGCAGCCAUUCCCAAUUCCUCCUCCCUCGCUGCUUCGUCACUGCUGAACAAUGGAGCCUGUUCCAGCCCCCACGCUGGCCAAUGGGACUUAAGGGGAAGUCUGCUGGGGGCUCCGAAACCUUUAGUUCUCCUGACAAAAGAGAAAGCCUUGGCUGGCCAGCACCACCCAGGGCUCCCUGACUUUGCCUCCAACACUCUGUCAAGUCUGCAGCUGCAAUAGCCAUUGAGCAAAGACAGGGGGCAAGCAUGAGACCCAAAAGCCAGCAGCCUGAGUAGGACAGUGCAGAAGUAGAAGCAUGGGCCCUCCACGACACACCAGCCAGCACCCGCCCCCUCCAGACUUCCCGUCACCGAGAACAUCCCCAGCCGAGCCAGGUACCCAACAUCCCUCCCCAGCGCCACGAACUCCUCCCCCAGACUCCUCCCCCGGACUCCUCCCCGAAACAAGGCCUGUCUCCUCUCAGUGCUACUGCCACCAAAGCCACUCUCUUGUCACCCCCCAAUGCCACUGUCCUCCUACAUAACACACACCCACACCUCUCCCCAGCCUGAGCCCCGCCUCAGCCAGGCCCAGCUCAGGCCAAACGCCAGCUCACAGCAUUCUCAAGGGCUCCUGGGAGAUGCUGCCAGACCAAGCACACGGGACAACACCCCCUGCCCCAUUCUGCGCUCAGCCAUGGCCACCCUGAGCUCAGCUCCACGCAUCCUGUCCAGGAAGGAGACGACAGAGCUGCUGACGGUGACUGUCCCGUGCAUCUGGCACGGAGCUUUUCCUUCACUGCACAUCCGAUUCUUGCCUACAAGGUAGAUACUUUAUCUCCAUCUGACAGAGGGGGAAGCCGACGCUUAGAGCAGCUCUCUCGCCGGAGGUCACCACCCGGGUCUUGACCAGGAAGCAUCCCCGUGCUCACGCCUGGGCCCCACAGGAGGAGACUGGAUUCCCGCUCAGCGAAUGCCGGGGAGCCUCAUGGAGCAACGAGGCUCCAGGUCCUUCUUCCUCUCCCUGCUCUGCGUCCUGCAGCAAACAGCCUGGACAGGCCCAGCGCAAGGCAGAAACUCCAUCAGCAAAGCUGAUUCUAGGGCCCUGCUCUUUCAGAGCUGUUCAGAGUCAAAAUGUCCCCGUUACCAGGCAACGCUGCUCAGCUGGAUUUAGAACACUGGAAAGCCUGGAACCCACCAUGGCUGCAAUAUCUGAGCGAACGGGGAGGGAGGGGGCGCUGCUGCUGGCUCGGUGGUCCAGUUGGGCCCAGGUGAAAGGCUGGGAUAAGAGCUGCCUCUAGGCUCUGAGCACUCACUUCCCUCGGGCCAAGAGUAGGGUGAGUGCCCUGUCGCCCUCAAUCCUCAACAUUGCCAUCUAGCUUGAUACCAUUGUUCUCACAUUACAAAUAAGGAAACUGAGGCCCGUGAAGUCACGCCCCUGGCCCAAGGGCCCACAGCAGGGCUGACCCUCAGGCCACGCCAGGAUCGUCCUCAGCAAGUUCCAGCCAGUGGACCGCGAGGAGACUGACACGUCGCUUCCGAGCUGAGCCAGUUGAGAGCUGCCGGUGGGAGAUGGAGAGAGCUGCUCCCUCUCAGUCCUCCCAGCCACACGGACCCCGGGGGCCAUGUGCUCUAAAUGGAGGAGGGCUGCCCGUCCUCACGAGCCUUUAGGUGAGUGAGGAGCCAGCCUGGAUGGCGUUUAACCACCGAGACUCCAGGUUUGUCUGUUAUGGCAGCUGGUGUUAAAUACCCCGACACAUUCAGACCCCAGAGUUAGAAGAGAGCAAAGCAACUUGGUAGAUAGGAAGUGAUGGAAUGUCAUGCUUUCAAUAAAAAAUAAGCUGGCUAACAUUUAGUGAAGUUAUUACGAACCAGACAUCGUUCUAA